UACGGAGGGUGCAAGCGUUGCUCGGAAUCACUGGGCGUAAAGCGACCGCAGGCGGCCUGACAAGUCGGACGUGAAAGCCCUGGGCUCAACUCAGGAAUUGCAUUCGAAACUGGUAGGCUCGAGUACGGGAGAGGGGGGUGGAAUUCCUGGUGUAGGGGUGAAAUUCGUUGAUAUCAGGAGGAACACCGGCGGCGAAGGCGGCCCCCUGGCCCGCAACUGACGCUCAUGGUCGAAAGCGUGGGGAGCAAACAGG
rnacentral:rRNA from 1 species